UGACUAUUGCAAUGUCUACUGUAAGUUUGUAAAUUCCAACAUCCACUAGUACCUCUGUAACAUCUUCAUUGUUUUCCAAUGCCUGUAGCAAAAGCAUUGCUGAACCCAAUGCCAUAUUCAAAAGAAUCGUGGCCUCUCUAAUCCUGUGUGGAAAUUACAAAACACAAGUAAAUUUUUUGUUAAAAUAAAAUUUAUAGCAAAAAGAAUCUAUUUGUGUUCAGUAUUUACAGUGGAAAGUGGGCAUCUGGAGUAUUAGUGUACAAGCCAAAAAGCGGCAGCAGAUUUCUGAAAACAUCGUAGUGCAACUGUGCUGCUCCGCCUGAGUUGAAUUGAUUCACCAUUGCAACUUCCUCUAGCAGAUUGAUAGAAUUAUAUCACUCACUUGAUCAAGUUGAGCCGCUAAAUUUUUCCAAGCCUGAUUGAACAGCGGCAGUGCAAGGAUUUCCUGAAGUGUGUGAAGACGAGCAGCUAAUUCAUGGAACAUCGGGCAUCCGCUUGAAGUUACCGAUAAUGACACCACGUCUUUUUCAGACUGCAUCGCAAACCAUCUAACAAUAAGGGCAAACACGAGCGACGUAGAGUGAUAUCAUUAUUCUAAGUAGAGUACAAUCACGAAGUUUGCUAUAUAAGAUGGGUUUGCCCAUGAAUAACUGAAAAAUUAGCAAGUGUGAUAACUUUUGACAUUACCUGUCUGUUCUAUAAGGUCUGCUCUUGGCUUUAACAUCAAGUGUCACAGAAUCACUUAUUUCAUUUACUAAUUCACGUUCCAAUCUCUGCAGCAGUGCCAGAGCUUCACAGAAUACUGAACCUUCUUCGUCAGCAAUACUAUCUGAAAUAUCUGCCAAAGUUUCAUGUGCGAAUUUUCCUACAUCGCAUUGUUUUUUGAAGUAGUAAAGCUGUAAGAAAUGCUAAAAAAAAACAUUUUUUUCACGA